GCCGCACGGCCGCCAGGCCGCUCACAGGAGGAGAAGUAGAAGCCACGAUGGCUAGGCCCUGCAAAACUUUCUUCCCACUCCAUACAAUAUCAUGCUAAGAAUCUCUUCCAUAUUUAUGUCCACCACCAGCAAGAGACUUAGGCCAUACCAGAGAAGGUACGCAGGGAGCCAAUACGGGAAGGUUGAUACACACAGGUUCACCAAUGGCCGCCGGGCCGUUCACACGCGCAGGUGGCGGCGAGGCCAUCGCCGACCAAUGAGAGAAUUGGCUGACAGUAUAGGUGUAGCAAAUCAGAAUUUUAGAGUUGAUAGCGCUACACUUGGAACAGUCAUUUAGCCUGACCGUGGAAAGUUUGGGCUUGAAAGUAUUUAGUGCCGUGACAGAUCCGGCCAUUUAUAUUUAUAUAAAAGACUCAGCUCAAGUGGACUCGCAAUGGCGCACCAUUUUUGUAUGAUGAGAAGGCAGUAUGACAUAUUGCAAUAUUAUUUGUCACGGGCUAAUUAGCUUAGCCCGUGCUGGACAUUAAAUAUCCAGAUCUAAAUGUCUUUCAUGAUUUUGUGAA